GGCACGGUGGCACAGCGGUUAGCACUCCGGCCUCACAGCAAGAAGGUCGUGGGUUUGAAUCCAACCUGGGGCG